GCUGGGUAUGGUGGUGCACGCCUGUAAUCCCAGCAACUCAGGAGGCUGAGGCAGGAGGAUUGCAAGUUCAAAGCUAGUCUCAGCAACUUAGCAAGGUCCUAAGCAAUUUAGCAAGACACUGUUUUGA
rnacentral:sRNA from 1 species